CGUGCAGCCGGGAAUGCAAGUCAGAUGUGAAAUCCAUGGGCUUAACCCAUGAACUGCAUUUGAAACUGUAUUUCUUGAGUACUGGAGAGGCAAUCGGAAUUCCUAGUGUAGCGGUGAAAUGCGUAGAUAUUAGGAGGAACACCAGUGGCGAAGGCGGAUUGCUGGACAGCAACUGAGGUGAGGCGCGAAAGUGUGGGGAGCAAACA
rnacentral:rRNA from 1 species